GCUUAACACAUGCAAGUCGAGGGGCAUCAGGAAGAAAGCUUGCUUUCUUUGCUGGCGACCGGCGCACGGGUGAGUAACACGUAUCCAACCUGCCCUUUACUCGGGGAUAGCCUUUCGAAAGAAAGAUUAAUACCCGAUGGCAUAAUGAUUCCGCAUGGUUUCAUUAUUAAAGGAUUCCGGUAAAGGAUGGGGAUGCGUUCCAUUAGGUUGUUGGUGAGGUAACGGCUCACCAAGCCUUCGAUGGAUAGGGGUUCUGAGAGGAAGGUCCCCCACAUUGGAACUGAGACACGGUCCAAACUCCUACGGGAGGCAGCAGUGAGGAAUAUUGGUCAAUGGGCGCUAGCCUGAACCAGCCAAGUAGCGUGAAGGAUGAAGGCUCUAUGGGUCGUAAACUUCUUUUAUAUAAGAAUAAAGUGCAGUAUGUAUACUGUUUUGUAUGUAUUAUAUGAAUAAGGAUCGGCUAACUCCGUGCCAGCAGCCGCGGUAAUACGGAGGAUCCGAGCGUUAUCCGGAUUUAUUGGGUUUAAAGGGAGCGUAGGUGGACUGGUAAGUCAGUUGUGAAAGUUUGCGGCUCAACCGUAAAAUUGCAGUUGAUACUGUCAGUCUUGAGUACAGUAGAGGUGGGCGGAAUUCGUGGUGUAGCGGUGAAAUGCUUAGAUAUCACGAAGAACUCCGAUUGCGAAGGCAGCUCACUGGACUGCAACUGACACUGAUGCUCGAAAGUGUGGGUAUCAAACAGGAUUAGAUACCCUGGUAGUCCACACAGUAAACGAUGAAUACUCGCUGUUUGCGAUAUACAGUAAGCGGCCAAGCGAAAGCAUUAAGUAUUCCACCUGGGGAGUACGCCGGCAACGGUGAAACUCAAAGGAAUUGACGGGGGCCCGCACAAGCGGAGGAACAUGUGGUUUAAUUCGAUGAUACGCGAGGAACCUUACCCGGGCUUAAAUUGCAGUGGAAUGAUGUGGAAACAUGUCAGUGAGCAAUCACCGCUGUGAAGGUGCUGCAUGGUUGUCGUCAGCUCGUGCCGUGAGGUGUCGGCUUAAGUGCCAUAACGAGCGCAACCCUUAUCUUUAGUUACUAACAGGUUAUGCUGAGGACUCUAGAGAGACUGCCGUCGUAAGAUGUGAGGAAGGUGGGGAUGACGUCAAAUCAGCACGGCCCUUACGUCCGGGGCUACACACGUGUUACAAUGGGGGGUACAGAAGGCAGCUAGCGGGUGACCGUAUGCUAAUCCCAAAAGCCUCUCUCAGUUCGGAUCGAAGUCUGCAACCCGACUUCGUGAAGCUGGAUUCGCUAGUAAUCGCGCAUCAGCCACGGCGCGGUGAAUACGUUCCCGGGCCUUGUACACACCGCCCGUCAAGCCAUGGGAGCCGGGGGUACCUGAAGUACGUAACCGCAAGGAUCGUCCUAGGGUAAAACUGGUGACUGGGGCUAAGUCAUAAC
rnacentral:rRNA from 1 species